AUAUCUUCCCUCCAACUCUUUUUUAGCCCGCCAAGUAUGAAUUUUCUUUCUAGAAUCCAUAUAAUUAAUUAUUUCUUUCAGCCAAACAAAAAUAUUUUACCCUAAAAAGUCAAUUUAUUCCUUUCAGCCAAAGUCACGAUGAGUAACCCAGGUCUUCUCUCUCGUCAUCGGUGGCGUUGUCGAUCAAUCCUCUGUUAAUUACUCAUUUUAAUUUUUGAGUUCACAUAUUUGAUUUUAGGUUCGGAAUUUGGAUUCUAGUUUUUUGGAUUGUUUGCCAUGAUUUCCGAUGUGAGGCUUUUGAUGUGCUAUAUAUUUCGUAGUAGAUCUGAAAGUUAGAAUAGUGAAUGACGUUUGCUUUCUGAAUCUGUUUACAUAUGCCUAACACAUACACAUAGGUAGAUGUCUAUAUACAUUUUUUUUUCUUAUAACUGAGAAAUUCUCGAGGCAUGGUGGCGCACGAUUCUAGACAAUCAUAAAUACAUAUAGUUCAGUUUUUCCGAUAUAUUUUAAUGGUAAAUUGUUAGAUUAUAGAGUCUGAAAGUGAGAGCAUUGUUGUAGGUGAGUUUAUCUCGAUUAUUUUGAUCUACUUUUAAUAGUUGAUUUGCUUCGAAAUCGAUAUAGAGGCUUUGAGUACUCAGUGAUACUAUAUAUAUACAAACACACAUGCUCAUAUACGUAUACUUGUUGGUGUGUAUGUGUGUUACUUUAUUUUUCAAUGGUCAGUUGAUCUGGAUUGAUAGAGCUAGAAUGUCAUUGUCCAUAAGCUUAUCGCCUUCAUUAUUUUGGUUUGUUGCUGGAAUUGUGUGUCCUUGUGCCUUUGAAGUUCAAUUGUUGUCUUCUAUGUCACUGUCUGUUUGUUUGGUGUGUAUAUAAGUGAUCUAUAGUUGGGCAAGUUGUUUACAGUUUAAGUUUUCUCAACUUGUUUGCAAUAGCCCAUGUGCAUUAAGAUGUCUAUGCUCAAUAUAAGAAGUUCCACUACUUGCAAUAGCCUUUUAAUAUUCUUUACCCAAUUUGAAUUAGUGUGUGUACACAUUCAUAUACGUGUUAAGUUACCUUUUCCCCUUUUCUAUAUAUCAUUUAUGAGAUAGUUAAGAAAUUGAUUGGGUAUGAUAAUAGGCCAAAGAUACGUUGAUUAGUCACUUUAAAUAUGGUCGAGUGGAUUUCCAUCAACGAAAGGAGAGAUUAAGAACAGACGCUCCAUUGUCAUUGAGCAUGGUGUGUGCAAGGAAAAAGUGCAUACAACAUAUAACUAUAUCUCUAUGAAAUUACAACUGAGGCAAAAGAAAUUUCCCCCAUAACAUAGAGUUUAAGAUGACCUUUGAAAAUAGGCAAAAGAAGUUUCCUCCAUAAAGUUGAAAGGAUCUUUGAUGUAUUUAGAAGUGGCAGAAUGAGAGGUACUAGAGAGAGAACUGUUAUCUUGUCAAAAAAAAAAAAAAGGUGCUAGAGAGAGAAUUAAACAUUGAAGCCAUAUUAAACUGGAAGAAGAUGAUGACAUAAAGUUGAAAAAGAAAGAAAGAAACAGAAGCUAAGGGUAUGUGAGAUUUCACUGGCUAUGUUGUUGCUGUUAUCUAUGCAUUAUACUGGCCUAACAUGUCUCUCAUUACCUCAACUGUUCAGCUACCCAUCUUAACUAGACAAAAUAAGACCAAUCAAUAUCAGUAGCCACCUAAUGUUUUCUUAAGAAAGCUUUGACACUGCUUGUGGCGUUUUUAUGCCAGUUAUGAAUCUUAAAAACCUUAAUACUGCAAAAGUGGUACGAGCUCAACUCGAGCUCAUCUCUAUGAGCUCUCCCAAGUUUACUAUAAGCUUAGAAAUUAUUUAUGCUAGACUAAAAUGCAGUUGAAUAGUUGAUUUGCUUCAAAAUGGAGUUGGAGGCUUUGAGUACAAAGUGAUUUGCAAAUGUAGAACCUAUCAGUUGUCUUGCGCAAAAAUUGGAUUAAGAAAUUAUAUCAUAAUUAUUCUAUUCAAUUUGAAUGGUUAUAACCAAUUGAUACAAAAUUAUAUAUCUCUUUUCGAGUUACAGCGCAUCCUAGUCUCUUCUGUUUUGUGCACAAAAAGAUAUUGUUAAUUGGUUGGAUACUGAACUUUAAAUUUUUUAUUAGAAUAGUGGAACUGACAUAUAAGUUCUCUAUUUUUUCAUUCAUCGUGAAGUGUUUAGGCAGUUAACUUCUUCCUUGGGAUGGAAAAACUUCUUCUUUGGGAUAACAAAUAAUUAUGAUUCUAUUAGAGUUAACAUGUUUUGCUUCCUCUGCCCAAUUUCAUUAUUUUGUACAGGAAGAUUCUUUUUUUGCAUGUACCGAAUCUGGAGCAUUCAAUUUGUUCUUGAUAAUACGCCUUGGAGAAGGACUUUUCUCCUUUCUUUUUGCUUCUACUAGUGGUACACUUUGAGCUCCAAUGUUGUCAUCUUGCUGCUUUUUUUCCUCUACCAUAUCUUCCUAUCUAUAUGGACUGUUUUGCUUUAUGAUUACCCUCUAACUAAUAACAUUAGAUGUGUGUUGGUCCUUAGGAUAAACUAUAUGUUCAUUGCUUAAACUAGUAGCUUGCUCCUUAGGUCCAAACUCACUCUCAUUCUCAACUUGUAUUGAUGGUUCAUCUUUAGUUCUUUAGAAUUAUUUGCUGCUGCAGAGAACAUGGACCGUGUAUCAUAAUUUUUUGAAAAGUUAUCUUGAGUAUGUGAAGUUAUCUCCUGUACAAAUGCAUUUAAUCCAAUCUAUUUAAAACUAUGAUCACAUGUGCCUGGACUCAAUUGAUCACAAGCUACAAGAACCGAACUUGCAGUUGGUACCAAAGUAGGUUGGUUUCCACUACCCAAAUUUCUUGAGAUCCCAACUUUAUUCCCAAGUGAUUGAGCAACGUAAAGGAACUUGGGAUCAAUUUGUAAUGACUCAAUGCUUGUCGCACCAAGCUGAGAAGUUUUUUUUUUUCCAGAUUUUUACUUGAAAGCAAAAUGCAUCCUUCAUCAACCGUGGCCUCAAUCUCCUUAUCAGCUACACCCUUAUUUCCUGAGCCACCAACGUCACCUGUAGUUGUAGCAAUUUUGUUGCUAUUUUCCACUUGUAGCACUAUAUCAUGUCCAACCUCCUUUCCCCAUUUUACACCCUUAUACUAUUCUAGUUUGAGUGUGAAUGCUUUUCAUUUCGCAACAGAAUAUAUAAAAGCACUUAAAAUGACUAUUUUUUUGGGUAUGCAUGUCCAUUGAAACUUGAACAGUUGUACCUUGUGCAAAUAUUUUAGUUUGAAUGUACAUUCUUUCCAUUCCAGCUGGCGUUUCAUUUCUUUCCCUGCAUUUUCUGCUUUCUAUAAAGUAUAAUCUGAUUUUCAUUGUAUUGUAACCCUUUAUCCUCCCAUUUCAAGACACUUUCUCAUGUGUUUUUCUCCUAUGUCUCUUAUAGAAGAACUCAAGAAAAUGAGAAGACUGUAAAAGAAAUUACCUAUGUUGUUUCUAUGUCGAAACACAUAAUCACAUGAAGCGACAUUCCAUAUUUACCAGCUUGGUAGCAGAUCAUUCAUUUGAAACUGCACUGAAGAAAUGACUAUAGUUUUAUCUACUCAAAAUCCAGUCUUGUGUUCUUAGGGUUAACACACAUUUGAGGGGUGCAAGACGAAAGUGAAAAAGACUUCUUCAAAUAAUUGAAGGUCAUACACUAAGAUGUUGAGCUAUUCGGCAUGCGGAAGACUUCAUUAUGAUCAAGCAUUGGAGUAGCUUUAAUUAUUUGUUUUUUAUAUAAUGCCAAAUGACCCUAGUUAUUAGAUUGAAAUUGUUUAUCCAUUACAUUGUUCACUUUGAAAUUAUGGUUUAAUAGUUAUUUUUGUUGUGGAUUUAAUGAAGUGUAUUAAUUUAUUGAAGAUGAAUCUUAUUAUUAUUUUUCAAUGUAACUAGCAUUAGAUGUUGUUGGAA